GACGAACGCUGGCGGCGUGCUUAACACAUGCAAGUCGAGCGGAAAGGCCUCUUCGGGGGUACUCGAGCGGCGAACGGGUGAGUAACACGUGAGUAAUCUGCCCUUCACUUUGGGAUAGCUCCCGGAAACGGGGAUUAAUACCGGAUACGACCAUUCCACGCAUGUGGUGGUGGUGGAAAGUUUUUUCGGUGGGGGAUGUGCUCGCGGCCUAUCAGCUUGUUGGUGGGGUAAUGGCCUACCAAGGCUUCGACGGGUAGCCGGCCUGAGAGGGUGACCGGCCACACUGGGACUGAGACACGGCCCAGACUCCUACGGGAGGCAGCAGUGGGGAAUAUUGGACAAUGGGCGGAAGCCUGAUCCAGCAACGCCGCGUGAGGGAUGACGGCCUUCGGGUUGUAAACCUCUUUCAGCACCGACGAAGCGCCCUUGGGGUGGUGACGGUAGGUGCAGAAGAAGGACCGGCCAACUACGUGCCAGCCGCCGCAGUAACAC
rnacentral:rRNA from 1 species